rnacentral:lncRNA from 1 species
GUCAUUGUCAUUGUCACCGUGUCAUUGUCAUCGUCAUCGUGUCAUUGUCAUCGUCAUCGUCAUUGCGUCAUCGUCAUUGUCACCGUGUCAUUGUCACCGUGUCAUUGUCAUCGUCAUCGUCAUUGUCAUCGCGUCAUUGUCAUUGUCAUCGUCAUUGUCACCGUGUCAUUGUCACCGUGUCAUUGUCACCGUCACCGCGUCAAAGUCACCACGAUGUCCCCACCCCUCGGGUCCCCUCUGUGUCCCCAACACCCCCGACGUCCCCGACGUCCCUCAAUGUCCCCAAGACCCCCCAUGUCCUAUGUCCCCAAUGUCCCCAAUGUCCCCAAUGUCCCCAUCCCCAACAUCCUCGAUGUCCCCAACGUCCCCAACGCCCCCCACGUCCCCGAUGUCCCCAAUGUCCCCGAUGUCCCCAA